rnacentral:misc_RNA from 1 species
ACAUUUCCAGUUUGUUCAUUAUCUAGCCGCACUCUCAUUUUCUGUCUUCUAUCAUCUCUAAGCUCAACUUCAUAUCACUCGCAUUUUAGCUGAGUACCCUCUAGUUCACGGUGGGCAUCAACUCCCAGGCUAAUCAGUCCACGGUCCUGUCUCUAGUGGCCACCCCCAUAAUCAUUCCUACAGAUUCAGCUCCUCCCAGGUAAGAGCUUACGUCACUGUUUUAUUAAGUGUUCACGUUCAUUUUUCGUAGUCUCUCUGUCCUUCUUACGUAUGUGAUUUUUCUCCAAGUUCAUCUUGCGCAAAGAGACCCAGAAAUGUUACUCUCGGGUCAUCUCUUUAGUGGUUAGUCUGUCUUUUUAUUAAUCUUCGUCAUUUCUG